CUGCACCGUAGGUACCCCACAGAGAGAGCUCGGCCAUGACCGGAGAAUGCGAGCUGCAAAGCCUGGCGCGGAGCCCCUCAUCGUCCGAGGCCAGAAGGAAGCCUCCUCCUUUUCUCCUGCAGUUCCUUGCCGGCUAUCAGCUGCCAGUUUUGUUUGGCAUGUUUGUUUCGGCUGAGUCCUGAGGGAGACUGAUGGCCCCCGUCUGUCUGGGGAGACGCCGAGAUGUUUUGGCGGCAGAUGCACCAUAUCUUGACAGAGAAGGAAAGAUCUCCUUUGUUUCGGCUUUGAGAUGGAAAGGGAGCAAACAGCACCACUGAGCGGGGACCACCACACCACACCUCGCAUAUUCAUCACAGCCUCCCCAGAUGCGGAAACGCCAUUCCCGCAAGCCCCAAGUGGACAUAACGGGACCUGGCGUGCACAGAUCGACGCCCCAUGGAAGCACAGGCACUCCCGGCCCUUGCCGGAUAUCGGCUGGGGUUCAGACAGAGCCUGCGGUAAUUACUGUAGAUCAGAGUCUGACUAGGUAGAGGGUGUCACCGAGAGGCCCGACCCAGGCUCUGGGGGGGCAGCAAUUAUGACCCCCAUGCCCCAACUGACAUGCUAUACAGUUCAACAGGUAUUAAGUUUACAUUUUAUUUAUAUAGUGCAAUAUCACUGUGAAUACUGUAUGUAUAUAGUGCAAUAAUGUAAUCAGUGUGCAACAAUGUGCAACAUUUUUCUUUUCAACCUUUUCAGCACUGACUGGUCCUACAUUUCUGUAUAUAUAUUGUUUUGUAUAUUUAGUGUCUGUUCUGUGCCAC